AUACGGAGGGGGCUAGCGUUGUUCGGAAUUACUGGGCGUAAAGCGCGCGUAGGCGGAUUGAUCAGUCAGGGGUGAAAUCCCGAGGCUUAACCUCGGAACUGCCUUUGAUACUGUCAAUCUUGAGUUCGAGAGAGGUGAGUGGAAUUCCUAGUGUAGAGGUGAAAUUCGUAGAUAUUAGGAAGAACACCAGUGGCGAAGGCGGCUCACUGGCCCGGUACUGACGCUGAGGUGCGAAAGCGUGGGGAGCAAACAGGAUUAGAAACCCUAGUAGUCC
rnacentral:rRNA from 1 species